rnacentral:rRNA from 1 species
UACAUGGGGUGCAAACGUUGCUCGGAAUUAUUGGGCGUAAAGCGCGCGUAGGCGGUUACUUAUGUCGGAUGUGAAAGCCCUCGGCUUAACUGAGGAAGUGCAUUCGAAACUGGGUAGCUAGAGUACUAAAGAGGGUCGCGGAAUUCCCGGUGUAGAGGUGAAAUUCGUAGAUAUCGGGAGGAACACCGGUGGCGAAAGCGGCUCUCUGGAGCGGUACUGACGCUGAGACGCGAAAGCGUGGGGAGCGAACAGG